CGGCGGCCGUAACUAUAACGGUCCUAAGGUAGCGAAAUUCCUUGUCGGGUAAGUUCCGACCUGCACGAAUGGCGUAAUGAUGGCCAGGCUGUCUCCACCCGAGACUCAGUGAAAUUGAACUCGCUGUGAAGAUGCAGUGUACCCGCGGCAAGACGGAAAGACCCCGUGAACCUUUACUAUAGCUUGACACUGAACAUUGAGCCUUGAUGUGUAGGAUAGGUGGGAGGCUUUGAAGUGUGGACGCCAGUCUGCAUGGAGCCGACCUUGAAAUACCACCCUUUAAUGUUUGAUGUUCUAACGUGGACCCGUGAUCCGGGUUGCGGACAGUGUCUGGUGGGUAGUUUGACUGGGGCGGUCUCCUCCUAAAGAGUAACGGAGGAGCACGAAGGUUGGCUAAUCCUGGUCGGACAUCAGGAGGUUAGUGCAAUGGCAUAAGCCAGCUUGACUGCGAGCGUGACGGCGCGAGCAGGUGCGAAAGCAGGUCAUAGUGAUCCGGUGGUUCUGAAUGGAAGGGCCAUCGCUCAACGGAUAAAAGGUACUCCGGGGAUAACAGGCUGAUACCGCCCAAGAGUUCAUAUCGACGGCGGUGUUUGGCACCUCGAUGUCGGCUCAUCACAUCCUGGGGCUGAAGUAGGUCCCAAGGGUAUGGCUGUUCGCCAUUUAAAGUGGUACGCGAGCUGGGUUUAGAACGUCGUGAGACAGUUCGGUCCCUAUCUGCCGUGGGCGCUGGAGAACUGAGGGGGGCUGCUCCUAGUACGAGAGGACCGGAGUGGACGCAUCACUGGUGUUCGGGUUGUCAUGCCAAUGGCACUGCCCGGUAGCUAAAUGCGGAAGAGAUAAGUGCUGAAAGCAUCUAAGCACGAAACUUGCCCCGAGAUGAGUUCUCCCUGACUCCUUGAGAGUCCUGAAGGAACGUUGAAGACGACGACGUUGAUAGGCCGGGUGUGUAAGCGCAGCGAUGCGUUGAGCUAACCGGUACUAAUGAACCGUGAGGCUUAACCUUACAACGCCGAAG
rnacentral:rRNA from 1 species